CCAACCGCAUCCUCCAUCCGCCUGCCUGCAACUACAUAGAACAAUAAACACAAAAAAGGCUGAUUAUGGAUUUCAUAGUCAUCACUUCUAUAUUGAUCCGGUUUGUCUUUUUGAAGUGAUGGAAGAUGAUAAUGUACGGCGAAUCGGACAGCGUGUCCUCCGCCUGUGCCUGUGUGUCGGUGAUGGAGGUGUCCUAUUGAAGCUUUGAUACAAGAUCUUGACAGCCAUAGUGACCGGCGCAUUGAUCGAGUCAUUAACAGGAGGAGGCAGAACUAUGGCUUGGCGAGAUGUUCUUGAUCCUGGGAUGACCAGACAUACCUGUUUUCUGGCUUUUGGUGUCCUGUCCCUGACUGGAGCUGUCCCUGUUUUACAGUACAUUUGUGCAUUUAAAACACCACAAAUAGGAGGCUGGUUACCAGAGCAAUCGUACCGGAAUAAGCUGCUUGAAUGGAUACUUAAUCUGUGCACCCCACCCAGUGU
ensembl:lncRNA